rnacentral:rRNA from 1 species
GUGGGGAAUAUUGGACAAUGGGCGAAAGCCUGAUCCAGCCAUGCCGCGUGUGUGAAGAAGGUCUUCGGAUUGUAAAGCACUUUAAGUUGGGAGGAAGGGCAGUAAGUUAAUACCUUGCUGUUUUGACGUUACCAACAGAAUAAGCACCGGCUAACUUCGUGCCAGCAGCCGCGGUAAUACGAAGGGUGCAAGCGUUAAUCGGAAUUACUGGGCGUAAAGCGCGCGUAGGUGGUUCAGCAAGUUGAAGGUGAAAUCCCCGGGCUCAACCUGGGAACUGCAUCCAAAACUACUGAGCUAGAGUACGGUAGAGGGUAGUGGAAUUUCCUGUGUAGCGGUGAAAUGCGUAGAUAUAGGAAGGAACACCAGUGGCGAAGGCGACUACCUGGACUGAUACUGACACUGAGGUGCGAAAGCGUGGGGAGUAAACAGGAUUAGAUACCCCGGUAGUCC